ensembl:snRNA U6 U6 spliceosomal RNA
GUGCUCACUUUGGCAGCACAUAUACUAAAAAUUGGAAUGAUACAGAAGUUAGCAUGGCCCCUGUGCAAAGAUGACACGCAAAAUUCCUGAAGCCUUAGCCAGGCGU